rnacentral:rRNA from 1 species
AACGAACGCUGGCGGCAGGCCUAACACAUGCAAGUCGAACGGAUCCUUCGGGAUUAGUGGCGCACGGGUGAGUAACGCGUGGGAACGUGCCCUUAGGUACGGAACAACAGUUGGAAACGACUGCUAAUACCGUAUAAUAUCGAGAGAUCAAAGAUUUAUCGCCUAAGGAUCGGCCCGCGUUAGAUUAGAUAGUUGGUGGGGUAAAGGCCUACCAAGGCGACGAUCUAUAGCUGGUCUUAGAGGAUGACCAGCCACACUGGAACUGAGACACGGUCCAGACUCCUACGGGAGGCAGCAGUGAGGAAGAUUGGACAAUGGGCGAAAGCCUGAUCCAGCCAUGCCGCGUGAAUGAUGAAGGCCUUAGGGUUGUAAAGUUCUUUUAGCUGUGAAGAUGAUGACUGUAGCAGCAGAAAAAGCCCCGGCUAACUCCGUGCCAGCAGCCGCCGUAA